CAGCCGGCACAUGACCGACCUUCAACGUUGAAAUAUGGUUGAAAUAAGGUCAGUUGUGGUUUCAACGUUGAAACAACGUUGAUUCAACGUUUAAAGCUGAAUGGUUGAAAAACAUCCAGCACAUGACCAACUUUCAAUGUUGAAAUAUGGUUGAAAUAAGUUCAGUUGUGGUUUCAACGUUGAAACAACGUUGAUUCAACGUUUAAAGAUGAACUGUUGAAAAACUUCCAGCACAUGACCAACUUUCAACGUUGAAAUAUGGUUGAAAUAAGGUCAGUUGUUUUAAUGAAACAACGUUAAAAAUGUUUAAUGCUAAAUGGUAGAAAAAGGUUAACAAGCUUUUAAAUUAUUUAUAUUAAAUUAUUUAAAUUAAUUAUUAUUUUAAUAGCAUUUAAAAAUAUUUUAGUCAUGAUACCUAUUCUAAAAUCUAAAGGUAUAUGUUAAAUAUUAUCAUCAUUAACAACAAUAAAACUAUACAUUCCGCUGCUUUAUCACACUGAAGCAACUCCCAUUGGUAGUUUUAUUUUAUUACUUCUAUCAUGAUUGGUUAAUCUGGCUGUCAUUCAGGAAACUGGACAAUGAAUCGGUUCGCGCUUUUCUACAUUUAAAAAUAUGACCGUUGUUGUCGUCUUUCUGUGAGUGAGGCGGCUAACUGUGAGCUGCUGCUCGUUAUAACUGACAGCUCGGUCGGUCCCGAAUUAUUUCAUAUUUGCCUGUACAUUUUUUAUUUAUUUUGAGCGAAUUUGAGUCGUGACCUGUCAAUGGAGAACAAAAACUGUGAACACAAGAAAGGUCAGGUGUUCUGCGAGGUCCUGAAAACAUCCUGUCAAAAUGAGCUGAUCAAGUUAGAUGCUCACCUAAUGUGUUACUGAGUCAUCAAGGAUCCAGUUUAUUCUUGAAACAUUGAAGUUUGCCCUCUGCAAGUGAACGACGCCUUGUGGUGCCAUCCCAAAGAGGUUCAUAAUCACUCUCAAGGACCUUUUCCUGGACUGUGUCCAGCUGGUGGAAUGACCUCCCAAUCUCAAUCCGAAC